rnacentral:misc_RNA from 1 species
AAGACUAUAGACCUGCGGAGUACCUGCGGAGGGAUCAUCAUCGAAUUCAUAUCCCCCUCCUCUCCCGGAGGGGGACCCAUGAUAAGCCCUUCUGUGCACCGUAAACCGUUCACUUUGGUAGGCUUUGGUGGUGAGCGUGAGCUCGUCUCCAACCUCGCGUUCCCUCUUCCCUAAGGGUGUUACGCGUGGCGGCCUGCCGAAGUCCUCCCAUUAAAAACACGUUUUCGAACACGUCUGAAA